GGAGCAGGUUGGACUGCUUUGUGAUUUUCCUGAACAGUGAGCUGCGUUUCUUACUGGAAUACAAAAAACAGCCACAAGGAUGAGCUCCACUACUUCUGUAUGGACAAGACCAUGGACUGACUCCCCGUUUACGCAAGGAUCAAAGGUGGAGCUGAGAAGGAAGCAAUCACAGAUGAGGAAGUCAUAAAGAGGGUGGCUGCGCUGAACAGAAGACACACUGAUCUUAAGAUUGGGGAGACUGUGGAAGUGUGUUGUUACAAGAUAAUGGUGUAUAUGACCUGUUUAUGUUGCAGUUGUUUUUCCCAUCCUUUAGAGAGCAACGUUUAUUGUAACUAGGGAACCCCCAAAGAUAAUAAAAAGAGAGGUGCGGACAGAUUUCAGAGCGGUAGGAGAUUUGUAACUGAAAGCACACACUCCACAAAUGUGGCUCUUGUAGAAAAAGGAUGAAGAAGAAAGCCAUUGUUGAAACAGAUCUACCUGAAAUGCAUUGAAUUUUCUCACAAGCCAUGAAGGAGACAGAGCAAGCAUGGAAAAGAAGGUGCAAAUAGUCUUAUGAAAACUGACAUUGCAUAUCACCCUGAACACACCAUCUCAACUGUUAAACAUCAGGAUGACAGCAUUACUCCUUCGGGGUGUUUGUCUUCAGCAGAGACAAGUGGGUCAGAAUUCAUGUGAAGAUGGAUGGAGCUACAAAUAGAGAAAUACUGGAGGAAAAAAAACUGUUGGAGGAUCCAAAAGAUUCACCUUUCAGCAGGUCAACAACCAUACAGCCAGAGCUACAAUCGAAUGGUUUAGAUUAAAACAUUUUCAUGUUUUAGAAUCGCCCAGUCAAAGUCCAGCCCUAAAUCCAAUUAGGAAUCUGUGGCAGAACCUUAGGAUUGCUGUCCACAGAUGCUCUCCACUCACUCUGAAUGAGCUCGGGCUAUUUUUGCAAAGUAGACUGAGCAAAAUUUUCAGUUGUUGAUGAGCUGAUGAGAGAUAUACUAAAAGACUUAGCACGUUGUAGCAAACGUUUUACAAAAGAGGGACCAAGUCCAAAUGGAUGCAACACUGUUUAGAUGUUUAUUUGUGAAGGAAAUAUGAAAACUGCAUCUUUUGUAUUUCACUUAACAAUUAUGCAGCACUUUGUCCAGGUCUGUCACAUAAAAUCCCAACAAAAUGCAUUGAAGUUUCUGGUUGUAAUGUGGUGAAAUGUGUAAAAAGAAUAAAUAGA